UCCCAGCCUCCUCUCACCAACCAAGAU
rnacentral:piRNA from 1 species